GCGGAGCGAGCGCGGGUGAAGCGGCGGCGGGGCGCCGUAGCUGGGAGGGCGCGCGUGGGGAGAGAGGGAAGGGAGAGAAUGAGAGAUAGGGUUAGGGGGUUGGUGGGCCGGCUGGGUUUUUUUUUUCAAUUUCUUCCCUGAGUGCCAUGUUUUUAACUCUUGGAGAAGGCUAUUUUCCCUAGUGUCACAAAAGGCACUCAGGGAAGAAUUCUUUUUUUUUUAAUUUUUUUUGCUCUAUUUUUUUCUGAGGCCUUCCCAUGUUAUUUGAAACUUUUUGUUCAAAUUUGGAAUAAUUUUAACUUUUUUUGUUAUAUUUUGUUAGUUUUUUCAUUUUGUUGAAUUUCUUUUGCAUAUUUCAAAUUUGAACUACAAGUGUAUGAAAUAAUAAAAUUCCUCGUCACCACCUCCAUCGUCCUCAACACCUAGUUCGCGCCGAGCCCUCCAUCGCUCAAGCAUCAUUAGGUCCUUAGCAUCUUGCACCACUUCACCCUCAUCCUCAUCGAUGUUGUUGUCUACUUCCAUGCCCAUUAGUGAAAGAAUGUCUAUCUCCAAACGCCCUUCUAGCCCCUCAGGUUGAUAGAACUCUCCGCUAUCUGCCUUCGGGUCGAAGUUGUAAUCAUCAUCGUUUGGGACAGGCGCUUUACCACGUGGCGAUACCAAUUGCACAAGGUACCAUCCCUUAAGCCUCUCGUCUUUUUGGCAUGCCCAUGGAAGAUAAUAAACUUGUGUGGUCUAUUGAGCCACAAUAUAGACAUCAUCUCCACUAUAGAUAGAAUCCUGUCGAAUUUCAAGUUGUCCAAUGUCUUCGGCUCUUCUCGUGACAUUAGGAUCGAACCAAUGGCAUUUUUUGACUUUUUUGCUAUAUUUCAUUAAUUAAUUUCUUUAAAUUGAUUUUUCCACUCAAUAAUCCUACUUUGAACUAUAGGUGAAUGAAAUAGUAAAACUUAUCUAUUUGAAAAAUAAUAUUCAUGUUAAAUAAUAUAUUGUUAGACCAUAUCUAAAAAUUGACCUAAAUAUUUGAAGUCCUUGUCCACGGAACAUGAUCAUCCAAGUGUGGUAGAAGUGAUUUUUAAUUAUAUAAAAUUCAAAUAAAAUAAAAAAAAUUACAAAACUUAUUGAGGUGUCAUGUUAUCACAUGAGGAGCGUAUGAUAAAAUUUUGAAAAAAAUUGGAGCAAGUUAUGAUGUUAGAUGUAUA
rnacentral:lncRNA from 1 species